UAAAUUCGCGUUAAAUUAUAGCACAUUUAAAAAUUUUGCUGAAUUGCAGAAAAAUGAGGAAAAUUUUACAUUUUAUCAAACAGGGUAAGGAACUUGGUUGCUCGAAUAACUUCUGGCACAGACAUCUGAGGGCAUGGCCGUCCAAGAAGAAAAUGUAGCCAUUGGUGCCAUCUAUCGACCACAGGUUAAAGAUUGGCGAUCCGUUGGAUACCGACCGAGUUAUAGGCAAAAUUUGGUGCAAAAAUGAGGAAAAUUUUACAUUUUCUCAAACAGGGUAAGGAACUUGGUUGCUCGAAUAACUUCUGGCACAGACAUCUGAGGGCAUGGCCGUCCAAGAAGAAAAUGUAGCCAUUGGUGCCAUCUAUCGACCACAGGUUAAAGAUUGGCGAUCCGUUGGAUACCGACCGAGUUAUAGGCAAAAUUUGGUGCAAAAAUGAGCCUUAUGAAAUUUUCUAAUUUUUCUAAUUUUUUAAUUUUUUUAUUAUUUUUUACCCUUUUUUUAUUUAAAGCAUUACUUGAGUGAAAAGAAACCCAUUGCAACCAAUUGGCAUUAAAAUAAAUCAAUUUCAUUUUUUUGCAAAAUUUUUCAAAAAAAACGUAAGGGGUAAGCCUUAUGAAAUUUUCGAGUGAAAAUUUUUUUUGAAAUUUUUUUCUGAUUUUUUAUUCUUUUUUUUAUUUAAAGCAUUAUUUGAGUAAAAAGAAACUUAUUGCAACAAAUUCGCGUUAAAUUGAAGCACAUUUAAAAAUUUUGCUGAAUUGCAGAAAAAUGAGGAAAAUUUUACAUUUUAUCAAACAGGGUAAGGAACUUGGUUGCUCGAAUAACUUCUGGCACAGACAUCUGAGGGCAUGGCCGUCCAAGAAGAAAAUGUAGCCAUUGUUGCCAUCUAUCGACCACAGGUUAAAGAUUGACGAUCCGUUGGAUACCGACCGAGUUAUAGACAAAAAUUGGUGCAAAAAUGAGCCUUAUGAAAUUUUCUAAUUUUUCUAAUUUUUUAAUUUUUUUAUUAUUUUUCACUCUUUUUUUUAUUUAAAGCAUUAUUUGAGUGAAAAGAAACCCAUUGCAACCAAUUGGCAUUAAAAUAAAUCAAUUUCAUUUUUUUGCAAAAUUUUUCAAAAAAAACGUAAGGGGUAAGCCUUAUGAAAUUUUCGAGUGAAAAUUUUUUUUUGAAAUUUUUUUCUGAUUUUUUAUUCUUUUUUUUAUUUAAAGCAUUAUUUGAGUAAAAAGAAACUUAUUGCAACAAAUUCGCGUUAAAUUAAAGCACAUUUAAAAAUUUUGCUGAAUUGCAGAAAAAUGAGGAAAAUUUUACAUUUUAUCAAACAGGGUAAGGAACUUGGUUGCUCGAAUAACUUCUGGCACAGACAUCUGAGGGCAUGGCCGUCCAAGAAGAAAAUGUAGCCAUUGGUGCCAUCUAUCGACCACAGGUUAAAGAUUGACGAUCCGUUGGAUACCGACCGAGUUAUAGGCAAAAUUUGGUGCAAAAAUGAGCCUUAUGAAAUUUUCUAAUUUUUCUAAUUUUUUAAUUUUUUUAUUUUUUUUCACUCUUUUUUUUAUUUAAAGCAUUACUUGAGUGAAAAGAAACCCAUUGCAACCAAUUGGCAUUAAAAUAAAUCAAUUUCAUUUUUUUGCAAAAUUUUUCAAAAAAAACGUAAGGGGUAAGCCUUAUGAAAUUUUCGAGUGAAAAUUUUUUUUGAAAUUUUUUUCUGAUUUUUUAUUCUUUUUUUUAUUUAAAGCAUUAUUUGAGUAAAAAGAAACUUAUUGCAACAAAUUCGCGUUAAAUUAAAGCACAUUUAAAAAUUUUGCUGAAUUGCAGAAAAAUGAGGAAAAUUUUACAUUUUAUCAAACAGGGUAAGGAACUUGGUUGCUCGAAUAACUUCUGGCACAGACAUCUGAGGGCAUGGCAGUCCAAGAAGAAAAUGUAGCCAUUGGUGCCAUCUAUCGACCACAGGUUAAAGAUUGACGAUCCGUUGGAUACCGACCGAGUUAUAGACAAAAAUUGGUGCAAAAAUGAGCCUUAUGAAAUUUUCUAAUUUUUCUAAUUUUUUAAUUUUUUUAUUAUUUUUCACUCUUUUUUUUAUUUAAAGCAUUACUUGAGUGAAAAGAAACCCAUUGCAACCAAUUGGCAUUAAAAUAAAUCAAUUUCAUUUUUUGCAAAAUUUUUCAAAAAAAACGUAAGGGGUAAGCCUUAUGAAAUUUUCGAGUGAAAAUUUUUUAGAAAUUUUUUUCUGAUUUUUUAUUCUUUUUUUUAUUUAAAGCAUUAUUU